GUGAGUAGUUCAGAGUUUGAUCCUGGCUCAGGAUGAAGCUGGCAGCAUGCCUAACACAUGCAAGUCGAACGGAGAUUAAGAAGCUUGCUUUUUUAAUCUUAGUGGCGGACGGGUGAGUAACGCGUGAGUAACCUGCCUCUCAGAGGGGGAUAACGUUCUGAAAAGAACGCUAAUACCGCAUAUUAUUGUGGAAUCGCAUGGUUCUACAAUGAAAGGAGCAAUCCGCUGAGAGAUGGACUCGCGUCUGAUUAGCUAGUUGGUGGGGUAACGGCUCACCAAGGCGACGAUCAGUAGCCGGACUGAGAGGUUGAACGGCCACAUUGGGACUGAGACACGGCCCAG
rnacentral:rRNA from 1 species